rnacentral:rRNA from 1 species
GACGACCUUUGGCGGCGCGCCUAACACAUGCAAGUCGAACGAGCGAGAGAGAGCUUGCUUUCUCGAGCGAGUGGCGAACGGGUGAGUAACGCGUGAGGAACCUGCCUCAAAGAGGGGGACAACAGUUGGAAACGACUGCUAAUACCGCAUAAGCCCACGGUGCUGCAUGGCACAGAGGGAAAAGGAGCAAUCCGCUUUGAGAUGGCCUCGCGUCCGAUUAGCUAGUUGGUGAGGUAACGGCCCACCAAGGCGACGAUCGGUAGCCGGACUGAGAGGUUGAACGGCCACAUUGGGACUGAGACACGGCCCAGACUCCUACGGGAGGCAGCAGUGGGGAAUAUUGCACAAUGGGGGAAACCCUGAUGCAGCGACGCCGCGUGGAGGAAGAAGGUCUUCGGAUUGUAAACUCCUGUUGUUGGGGAAGAUAAUGACGGUACCCAACAAGGAAGUGACGGCUAACUACGUGCCAGCAGCCGCGGUGAAACGUAGGUCACAAGCGUUGUCCGGAAUUACUGGGUGUAAAGGGAGCGCAGGCGGGAAGACAAGUUGGAAGUGAAAUCUAUGGGCUCAACCCAUAAACUGCUUUCAAAACUGUUUUUCUUGAGUAGUGCAGAGGUAGGCGGAAUUCCCGGUGUAGCGGUGGAAUGCGUAGAUAUCGGGAGGAACACCAGUGGCGAAGGCGGCCUACUGGGCACCAACUGACGCUGAGGCUCGAAAGUGUGGGUAGCAAACAGGAUUAGAUACCCUGGUAGUCCACACCGUAAACGAUGAUUACUAGGUGUUGGAGGAUUGACCCCUUCAGUGCCGCAGUUAACACAAUAAGUAAUCCACCUGGGGAGUACGACCGCAAGGUUGAAACUCAAAGGAAUUGACGGGGGCCCGCACAAGCAGUGGAGUAUGUGGUUUAAUUCGACGCAACGCGAAGAACCUUACCAAGUCUUGACAUCCCUUGACAGGCAUAGAAAUAUGUUUUCUCUUCGGAGCAAGGAGACAGGUGGUGCAUGGUUGUCGUCAGCUCGUGUCGUGAGAUGUUGGGUUAAGUCCCGCAACGAGCGCAACCCUUAUGGUCAGUUACUACGCAAGAGGACUCUGGCCAGACUGCCGUUGACAAAACGGAGGAAGGUGGGGAUGACGUCAAAUCAUCAUGCCCUUUAUGACUUGGGCUACACACGUACUACAAUGGCGUUAAACAAAGAGAAGCAAGACCGCGAGGUGGAGCGAAACUCAGAAACAACGUCCCAGUUCGGACUGCAGGCUGCAACUCGCCUGCACGAGGUCGGAAUUGCUAGUAAUCGUGGAUCAGCAUGCCACGGUGAAUACGUUCCCGGGCCUUGCACA